rnacentral:lncRNA from 1 species
UCCUACCAGGUGCUCAAUCACUAGUUCAAGUUGUGGCUUAGCAUUUCCACUACACCAAUCAAAACUAGUGAAGAGAAAAAAAAUCAGUAACUCAAAAAUCUGGGAACAAAUUUGACUUAUCUACGUGCCUCAGUCAUAAACCAAGGUAUUGGGAUUAUAUGCAGCACUAAGGAAAUACAGAAGAGAAUUCUUCAUAUACCAAAGACAAGACAAUUUUCAGCAAGAGGUUGUCCUUCUUCAGGUCAUACAAUACAUGGUACCAUGGAUAUUUCAUGAUUAUGUCAAAGCCAGUUUUGAAAAUAUUUGGAACCAAAGUAAAUGAGGGGCAGAACUAUCUGAAGAUGAUUUGCAGUUUUGGUCGCACAUCAAAAUGGUAGAUCAACAUAGCUCUGCGAGCAAAAAAACCGCCUUGCAAGAAUUCUAAGCAUACAGCAUGAAGAAAGCAACCAUGCUUCUUCUGUGUAUGUAGUUUAUGGCCAAUCAUCUGCAUUGCCUUAGAAACUGAGCAAUGCUUUGAGCCAAAAGUGUGACUCUAUGCUUUUGGUAAAUAAACAUUUGUUGCACUGGGUAAAAAUAGAAGAU